rnacentral:rRNA from 1 species
AAGACCUUGCACUUUUGGAGCGGCCGAUGUCUGAUUAGCUAGUUGGUGGGGUAAAGGCCUACCAAGGCAUCGAUCAGUAGCUGGUCUGAGAGGACGACCAGCCACACUGGGACUGAGACACGGCCCAGACUCCUACGGGAGGCAGCAGUGGGGAAUUUUGGACAAUGGGCGCAAGCCUGAUCCAGCCAUGCCGCGUGAGUGAAGAAGGCCUUCGGGUUGUAAAGCUCUUUCAGUCGGGAAGAAAAGAUUGCGACUAAUAAUCGUGAUCAAUGACGGUACCGAAAGAAGAAGCACCGGCUAACUACGUGCCAGCAGCCGCGGUAAUACGUAGGGUGCGAGCGUUAAUCGGAAUUACUGGGCGUAAAGGGUGCGCAGGCGGUCUUGUAAGUCAGAUGUGAAAUCCCCGGGCUUAACCUGGGAACU